rnacentral:lncRNA from 1 species
CUACAUCUCAAAAUAUUAAAAAAAAAAUUGUCAACCAUAAUGUACACCAAACAAAAUUGCUCAACGAAUUAGUCGGGUCCUCUUAACUAAGUGAAGACCUAAUACCAUCAUCAACGGUAUUACCUCGGCACAAGCUCGAACUCCAAAGAUUUCCUCCCUAUGGAGGAAAGCUAUUUUCAUCCUUGGGAACGCAUGCUAGCACAUGUGAUACAAACGUGAGAAAUGUACUUAUUGACCUAUAAAAAAUUAUGAAAAAACUUGGGGGACAGUAGGAUUAUGAUGAAAAUGUGACUCGCAUGUUUCGAAAAAUUUUGACAACCGUCCAAUUCAAUGAAUAAGAAUCGAAAGGAAAGACCGAAGUAUCAAAUUCGAGAGCAAUAAAUGCAAAUCUUAACAUGACAUAGAAUGGCUCAAUGAACAACUUGGUCAUCUCAGAAGUAAAAUACUAAAAUCUACUUAUCCAAAAGCCUGUUGAAAUCAUCUCAAACAUUUUUCUGACUUGGACAUUGGAGUCUCUUCGGCUGUUGCAUUCAAGCAACUUAAUCGAACAAAGUUGUACUUGUAUUACGCGACAUUAGACUUCAUAUCAACAAUAUAAAACAUCAAUAAAAAGGAAAACUCUC